AUUGAACGCUGGCGGCAUGCCUUUCACAUGCAAGUCGAACGGCAGCACGGGGCAACCUGGUGGCGAGUGGCGAACGGGUGAGUAAUGCAUCGGAACGUACCCUUCAGUGGGGGAUAACGUAGCGAAAGUUACGCUAAUACCGCAUAUUUUGUGAGCAGGAAAGCAGGGGAUCGCAAGACCUAGCGCUGAUUGAGCGGCCGAUGUCAGAUUAGCUAGUUGGUGGAGUAAAGGCACACCAAGGUGACGAUCUGUAGCGGGUCGGAGAGGAUGAUCCGCCACACUGGAACUGAGACACGGUCCAGACUCCUACGGGAGGCAGCAGUGGGGAAUUUUGGACAAUGGGGGCAACCCUGAUCCAGCCAUGCCGCGUGAGUGAAGAAGGCCUUCGGGUUGUAAAGCUCUUUCGGCCGGGAAGAAAUCGCACGGGCUAAUACCCUGUGUGGAUGACGGUACCGGAAUAAGAAGCACCGGCUAACUACGUGCCAGCAGCCGCCGUAA
rnacentral:rRNA from 1 species